UCUGGCCCAAUUGUCCUGGGCUGCUGCUCCAGAGGCUGAGCUGAAACGCAACCCUGUGGUAAACUGGGCCUCUUCAGCCAGCCCAUAGUAGCCCAUAAUCACAGGGUGGUGCGCUCGUAAUUUCUUUUGUGGCUCAUCUUCUCCACGGCGACCCCCUCCUUCCCUCCCGACCUCUGCGCCGCCGAGAUCACAGACAACGUCCUCGAGCGGCUGCGCCGUGGAGAAUACAGAUCAAGAAGACGAGCAGGAGGAUUAGAUCCAGUCAGUUUGCCAGAUGGAGCGAGGGCCUAGGGGAAGGCCAUGGUCGAUGACCGCAUCGCGUGCCGGCACGGGUGUCACAUCCCCGGCUGCCUCUUUAUCCAUUGACCAUCUCACAGUUGUCCUUCUCCCAUGUCUGCGGCCGUUCUCUCAUCAAACUACGUGAGCCAACUACAACAAGCCAUCAGAUCACGUGUGGAGGUCGUUUCUGGCCGUCGGAUGAUUCUGGGCCGAACUGUCCUAAAGGGCAGCUACUCCCGAAGAAAAAUCUGAUAUCUGUGAUUGACCGGGCCUUUUCUGGCGGCCAUUUAGCUAACCGCUCCUCGCGACAUACAGAAGAAAGCCCCCGAUCGAUAACCGCUCGUCUCUCCUCUCUAAUUCCAUCCUCGGCCUCUCCUCUCGUCCGCAAUACGGAGUGCGCCGCCAUUCCGCCGCAUGGCGCAGUCCCCCACCCCCUCCCCGCACUGGAAUGACGCCUCCAUACCUCGCCCACGCGGGCCACCAAUGAGAGAGACGGGAUCCAGGCGCUUGCGAUGCGACCAACGCGACCCACCAGUGACAGAGAGGGGAUCCAGACGCUUGCGAUUCGGCCGACGCGGGUUCUGCGAGGGAUCUAAUCGGCGUGGUAAGAAAUUACAUCGGCAAGGAUAAUUCAUUGACCUGAAUUACCAUUGUUUCUCGAACAAUGAGAGAUGGGUGGAGGUACAUCAGAUAGGACACACAAUCGCCGGUGCAUAUAUAGAUGCAAAACUUACAACUGGAUCCCGCCUCCGGUUUGUUGCGUCAAUCUUUGUGUUUUUUGUGAAUAAAUGUGUGUUGUCGUCCUAUCGAUCAACAUGGACGUGCACUUUGAGCAGAGAUGAAACUCUACAUCAGAUUGCCUAUCUUCUAGGAAGCAAUCCAGCAUGGGCAAACUGAUUUGGAUGGCAGAAGCUAGGUGGGAAGGUGUCGGGAAGAGUUACCUCCAGAAUCAUCAGUGACAGCGCUCGUUCGAGGGAGGCAAGUUGCUGAACGUGGUGCAAACUAUAGCGACAAGGCGCCCACGGAGUUAUGUGAAUCUGCUGUGAAGUCAGACACGACAGCUCUUGAUGGACUAAGAGUGAAACCGAAAUGUUUGCACUCUGAUAUGGUAGAGGAGCUGACUUUCAUGAAGAAGCAAAACUUUAUGGAAACCAAAAUGCAGGUAUGCCCAAAGAAUUGACGUACUUUAUCGAUUUCUCUUAUUCUGAGUUCAAUCGCCAAAUGAUGGUAUUUGGUAUAAUACAAACACAAACAAUCAUCGGAUAUUCCAAUUAUUGAAUCAUGAGCUAUUCCGACCCGUCUUGAUUAGUGUCAUUUUCUACUGGUUCUCUUAUUGCAUGUUAACUAUCAAGCAAAUCGAAUUCAAUUACUUCACGCAAUGUUGGAUAUAUAGGCAUAUUAGCAAUGAUACAUCUAUCCAAGAUCAAGAUUUGUACUUUUGGACCCGUAGAGAGUUUUACUUGUGGCUGUAUGAUCUGAAUGCAUUUAUUCAGUACCAAGUUCAUCCUUCCCGUAACACUACUCUUCAUAUGUAUUGAUUUUCCUAACCCAUUCGAAUAACUAAACUUCAUCUAAAUAUCAAGUUUUACCGAUGAAGUUCUACUCUUAAGAAAUGGGUUAUGCAUAGAAAAGCGGCAUGCAGGUGUUACUAAAUACAGAAAUAGAUGUUGUUCCCAUGCACUUUUAAUUUGUCUGCAAUCCGACCAAAUAGUAUCUCCUGUUUAUCCAGAUCUUGCAAAGACUAAAGGAUAUUGAAUGUUUGCUAAAUGAAUAAUCCUACUGAAAGAACAUGUGGUGCCCCCAUGUUUGGUUUUGGUAAUUGAUGACGAUCUCUAUGGACUAAUGGUUGUCUUGAGUUAUAUUUGAAGGAUUUGUCCAUAGGCUUUUCUUGAAGUCCAUCUGUUGGUUUGAAGGAGUUUAUGA